rnacentral:snRNA from 1 species
GUGCUCCCUUUGGCAGCACAUAUUCUAAAAUUGGAAAGAUACAGAGAUGAGCAUGGCCCCUGUGCCAGGAUGACCUGCAAAUUUGGGAAAUAUUCCAUAUUUUC